UAGGAGAAGGGAGCUUGCAAACAGCUUUCUGCAGUGGCGGUUGUUUCAGUUACUGCUUCCAGGUUUUGCCUUGGUACCUGCUCGGGUUUCCUCGGAUGAUCGACUGUAACUUGGCUUCACUACGUCCUCAGCCACUCAUUUGGAAGCUCUCCUUCAGCAGAUCCCAGAGAAUGUAUUCUUUACUAGAAUAAGGCUUGAAACUGAACUAAAAGUCGGACCGUUUUUUUCUGUCACCUGAAGAACAGAAGAAUUAAACAACUGAUACUUUCCUGCUUUCAUUAACAUAAAAGGGAAUUGUAACUGUAUUUUCAACUUAUCCGGAGAAAGUGAACCUGGGUGAAUGCACAAGUGGACGGUUUACAGGGCCUCUCUACACUUUCUGCUCAGUUUCGAUGUUUUCUGUAUUAACAAUAAAAUAUUUAAAGUAUA